rnacentral:rRNA from 1 species
GGAAUAUUGGUCAAUGGGCGAGAGCCUGAACCAGCCAAGUAGCGUGCAGGAAGACUGCCCUAUGGGUUGUAAACUGCUUUUAUGCGGGAAUAAAGUCAGGUACGUGUACCUGUUUGUAUGUACCGCAUGAAUAAGGACCGGCUAAUUCCGUGCCAGCAGCCGCGGUAAUACGGAAGGUCCGGGCGUUAUCCGGAUUUAUUGGGUUUAAAGGGAGCGCAGGCUGAAGAUUAAGCGUGACGUGAAAUGUCCCGGCUCAACCGUGGAACUGCGUCGCGAACUGGUUUUCUUGAGUGAGUACGACGUCAGCGGAAUUUGUGGUGUAGCGGUGAAAUGCUUAGAUAUCACGAAGAACCCCGAUUGCGAAGGCAGCUGACGAGUCCUUAACUGACGCUAAAGCUCGAAAGUGCGGGUAUCGAACA